AGGGGAAUUGGAGUCUUAUCAACCUCUUUGAACACCAGUUCCUUCCCCUCUCUUCUAUAAAAAUGUCGUAGCAAUACCUGCCUGGCAGAGUUGUGAGAAUUAAAUGAGAUGAUGAAUACAUCUGCUCUCAGCACCACACCACACCUGUGGCAGUCCUCAGAGAGAAGAAUCACAGCUUUCAUUCAUUGAGAGCUCACUAAGUGCCAGAACCAUAGAGCUCAAAGCUUCUCAGCUCAACGGAGAACUCAGCACUUCUUGGACUGAUAAAUAGAGCAGCUUUAAAAUGCUUAGAACUGAAGACAGACCAACUGUGGCGAGAGAAAGUAAACACAUCCAUGCACCAGUCAACCCUAGCAAGCUCCUCGCUGAGAUUACAAACUGCAGUUCCUGCCUGAGCCGGAGAGGAUGCUGGAGCAGGCUGGGGGACCAGAACCACAAACCAGCCCUGGCUUAGCUCUGGCUUAGCUAGCUGUGCCCCAGAAGAGCUGGGUCCUCAGGGAGUCUUCUUGCGGCCCGGUUUGGAUGUUCCUAAGCAUAGAAGACUCUGCCAGUGUGUCCCUCAUUCGUUUCACAUUUGGAAAUGUACCAAGAGAAGUGGGAACCAGCUUUACUCUUUGAUCUAGAUGGGAAUCCUUUCCUUUGCAUUCAAGCUCUCUGUGUACAGGUGUAACUUGCCAGUGAGAGACUUGGGAUUUCUCACAAAAUAGAAUGUGAUAACGACAUAAUUUGAUAUGAAUAUUUGAGGAACUUUAUCUCUGGACAAUAUAUACUUUAAACAUCCCCCUCCCCAAGUCACACACACAAAUUGUUUUUAUGAGAACCAAUUAAUAAAUGCUAAUUCAUUGAGGCAUAUCUUCACUAAAUUACUGUUUCAUUUAAUUGC
rnacentral:lncRNA from 10 species